CCAAUUGUGCAUCUUCCAAGUCCAUGAAUGUCUCAGAAUCACUCAGAAAACAAAGUGCUGAUGGAUCUUCUUUUGACCCUUCGGUGAAGCUAAUAGACUCAUAAAAAGCAUUUGGUAACCACAUGUAUGCCACGGGCUCGUGUCUCUGGAGAGCAGUGCAGACAGGCAUGCUGUUUGCCCAGGGUCACCCGAGCUGAUCCCACGCUCAAGGCCCUCCCAGGGCCGCAGGCUGCCAUGUCACACUGUAACUGACAAGCAAAACAAAAACCCCAGAGAUCCUGUUCGCACACCUGAUGGCUGUCAGUUUUUAGAAUGGGGCAAAAGAAAUGCCAUGUGCUCCUCGGCUGGCUGGGCGUAUCUGUGCUGUGAUGAGAUGGCAAUGCCACAAGAUGAAGAAGCAGUGAAAUCUAGAACAUCACUGCAAGAGCAGAUGACUUCAGCGUGUCAGCUGUUCCUGUUUUCCAGCUUCUGGUAGGGAAGCACCGUCGCGGUGAUCUGCAAAUACCGAAUAGAAGUUAGUGGCUGUUCAGGCUGACCACAGUAACUGGUGGUGGGUGCAGUAUCAGGCUGGAAUGGGAGCAGUACCACUGUGGCUGACCCACACCGAGAGGCACCAGGAUAUCUGCUCCUGGCUUGUCCAGCUUCUUCACAGCAAAACCUAAUGAAAGCUGCCACUACAUGUUGGAUGGACUUGCAAUGAACUUCAGAUGAUACAUACCGUACCUUGAGCCCACCCUUCCUAUGUAGCUCCUGAAAACUUAGCAUUGCAGGUUUAAACAGCACUGAUGGUUGACGGUUUUUGGCUGGACACAUAGAGUAAGGAGGCUUAUUUCUAUUCCCCUCCUGAUGUACAGAGUGACUGGUGUCCAGAUGAGUACAAGGGCAGAGUAUAUAAGGCUCCCUGGUGCACACAUCCAUCUCCGCUGGCUCCGUGGCAGCCUGGCUCCCCGGCACAGCCUGGCAGGACAGGGCAGCAUGCGGCUCACCCCGCCAGCACCUGGGGUGUGCAGAGCCCGAGGAUGCUGUUAUGGGACCAGUGCAAGAACCCCGCCGCUCGCGAUGCGCCUCCAGACAAGUGCGUGACAAAUAUGAGUGCUCCAUUGGCUGACUCAGACUUUCUAAUCAUUCAAAGGCAAGCAGUUAUAACUGAUCUUUAUAACUCUCCUAAGAUAUUUUUGUAUUUAUGCUCUUAUUAAGAAACAACCAGUGGUGACACACUGUGCAUUAUACCUGCGUGUCCCCGUGCCGUGUUGCCGUGUGGCUGGCUGAUGAAUCGUCCUUGCAGAAACCAUUAAAAUUUUUUUGCAGAGUGAGAAUCUUGUCCAUAAUACCCUGAGAUCUUCUAUCUUAUGAAAGACUAUCUUGUGAGAUUGAAAGACAGCAUUUUCUUUGUAUGACUGAGGUGGAUGAAGUGCGCUCACAUCCAUUAGCCUGUUAGCAUAUUGGAGAGCUCCUGUAACUGUGUGUGCUCCUUGUGCUGCCAGUGACAGAAAACGCUAUGGAAAUACCUCAUUGUAUUAAAACCCAGAGCUAUUCAAGCACUGUGACCUUUUUUUCUUGAAAACUUCAUUGCAUUAAGGUGGUAUGAGUAAAACUGUAAUAUUUCAAAGACCUUGAAAAUGGCUUGAAAGGAAGUUAAGGGAAUAGAUUUAGGCCGUGCUUUGUCCUUUCUCACAGAGAUCUGAGAAUGAGGCAGUGCUGACGUACAUGAUGCUAACCUGUUUCCAGCAGUUUAGAUGAAAAGGCCAUCCAGGCUCCUUCGGUAAACAUUUUUAGCAAGAAGACAUUUAUGUGUCUACGAACAGCGUGUCCUCAGGCAGCCACGGGGCAUCCUGGUGCCACCACUGUAGGACCGGUCCUGGGGUGGAACAAAGAAACCAUCCCCCAGAUGCUGCUGACCCCAGCUGCUGCAGUUCAAGUCAGCCUGACAUUACCUUCUACCAUUUCAAACGGAGUAGCUGACAAGGGCAGCAUGUGGAAAUUUUUGCCUUCAGUUAAACAUGGUUCAGGUCAGAGGUAAGAAAAAGUCAACACCCUGCAAGAUUUGCUGGUUGACUGAGUGUUCAUCAAUGCGUCGUCUCAGCCUUUUGGAUGCUACAGGCAUCUCUGCCAGCAAAAGGACAUAAUUAGCCUUGAAAACAAUUUUCCAUUCACCUCAAGAGAUGGUUUUUCCCACGGCUCCCAGCGGUCCAGUCUCCCUCAGCAUACAGCGACACGGUUGUUCCCUGGGCCUGGGUCAAGCUGUGCUGGCCAUGGUGCCUGCAGCAGAGGGGACAAGUCACCCCUGGGUCACCCAAACCCACUUGUGCCACAGGCAAGAGUUGUAAGCAAGUUGAAAUGACCUCCACGGGCUGCAGUAAGACCCUGCCAGCAGCUGGAGGAAAAGCUGGUGGCCUGAUUGCACUCAGCAACCAUAACCAUGAAUGUGGUGUCCUUGAAGGCUGGAGGGAAGCAACACCAACCUUGGAGCACAGGGGCAGCACCAGUAAUCUCCUUCCAGACCUUCUUCUGUGCAAUUCCAUGGGCUUAGGACCAAAUUCAUAAACCGUAUGGCUUUGGCUCUGUGUUUGUAGCCAAAAAAGCCAGCAUUGAUCUUUUAAGUGGGCUGGGGCUGAAAGGGACCCCCACAUGGGCAGCUGGAAGAGCCCUACCUCUCCCCACUUUGACUCCUGCCCCAUCCCACAGCCCCAGCAAUGCCGCGUACAUGCCGCGUAAUUAUCUGUGUGGGCUUUGUCUUGCAGAAGAAGAGGAGGCUCACAGGAUGUCUUUGAAGACAGGAUCAAAGCAGUGAUGAGCCAUACGCUCUUUUGAUUCCUUAAUGGGCAUUUGUCAUGCCAGCCCUCUCUCCUGCCUGGCUGUCACACCAUGGAGCACACAUGCUGCAAAAGCAUGCCUGACUUCAAAGCCCCUCUUUGGCAGUCCAUUUUCUUUUUCUCCCACUGAGCUAGCCCUCCUGGUAAUGGUGGGACCAUUGCAGCCGCUUACUUGAGCCAUCCUCAGGCAGCACCAUACAACACGCUUGUUCAUCCAAGAUACCCCAGGCAGGGUUGGGACUGGGUGGGGGACAGAGGGGACCCUGCUCUGUGGUCCAGCCUCAUACCAACCCUUCCCAUCCUGAUGCUUUGGAGAGCACAAAUGGUCUUUCUUGGCUUAGAGACUCUUGAAACAUGUAGAGGAAUCAUUCUUCCUUGUGUGGCAGCUCUUGACUCUGUGGGGGAAAAAGAAAAGACAGCUCAUAUUCAUUGCUCGGUAGCCUCUCUUUUUUUUGAGUGUUUUGGGGGUUAUCUGUCAUUUAAGGUCUUUUUACAGGGAUUAUUUCCUUGACAUACCAUUGUGUGGGGAACCUCACUGGGAGGGGGUGGGGGAAGGGCUUUAAAAGCAAAGAGACAAAAAAAAACCCCAAAUAUUAUAAACUGAAAAUUCAGACCAGCUGGAUAUUUUUGUCAAAAGAUUUUUCUACUGCCAGUUGCUAUUUUAAUUAUUUUUUUCUUUUUUGUUAGAGAAUUUGCAAUGGAAAAUGUCCUACAAAGUGAAAAGCACUGAAAUAAAAGUUUCAGCAUGUAAUACACUCAGAAUAUUUAAAUUUUUAAUGCAGGAAUUGACUUUUCAAAGUAUUGUAAUCUCAUUUUCAAAUGUAUUUCAUUUUUUAUUUAUUAUAAUUUCAUAUUAUUUGUUUACCUGUCAGUAAUUAUAUACUACAAACUUAUACUGGAUUUUGAUAAAGGAAUACAUCUAAAAAACCCACUGAUAUUUGAAAGUAAGAAAAAAAUAGUGGUUUAAAGCAUAUUUUUGAAAUAAAUUUUGAAAAUGUGAGGGUCUAAGUUUGAAAUUCAAAGUCAGUUUGAAUGACUAACUCAGUCCAACAUUUUCACAGCACAGCUUUCUUCCUUUCAGCAAUGGGAACAGGCGCUACAGCUGACAUGAAAGUAGAAAAAUUCUCCAAAGAAUAACAUUGUAAUUCAUCCUGAAAUAAAUGUUGAGGGUCUGUGACUGAUUCCUGUGAUGGCAGUGCAAAAAACCCAAAGAUAACUAGAAGAGAAAUAGAAGCAGUUAAACUAAUCUAUUUGAAUGUAUCAUGAUGCUGUUAGUAUCGAUAUCUGCCAACUAGCAAAAAAAAAAUUCUUAUUAUGAUAAAAUUGCAAAUGCCAUAAUAUCACCAUAUUUUUCUGCCUUGUUUCUUGGAGAAAAAUAAAAAUAAACUUUGGAAUGAUAAAAAAAUAAAACCUUAUAAACUCAGGAUCUGUAUAAAAAUCUGAUCACCUGCAAAUGUGAAACGAAACAGAUGUCCCUGAUGAUACCCAGCAGACACCAAGCGGUGCACAGGAUCAGCUCCUUCCUUGGACAUCCCUCUCUCAAAGAGGAAAGGGGAGCAGUGGAUCUGCUUGGUCUAAGCAGAGCAGAUCACCAAGAAGACUGUGAUACCUGGAGACAGCAUCAACUCUUAUUGUCCUUUGUGAAAUAAAUCCCAUGGAG